AUUGGUUAGCCCAUGUUGCUGGGGAAAAGUGUGAAACCCUUAAGGACAGAGGCAAUUGUCCAUGUUUUGAACCAAAAAUAAAACCUUGAGUUUGAUAUAUAGGUGAAUAUAGGUAUUUUCACUGUAAUUUAAGGGUUUCUCUUCAAGUGCCUUCAAACAUAUUAUAUAUUGUUUUUUAAAAUACAUAAUUGGCUUUCAUUUAUUAUCAUAUAUGUAUACUUAAC